GAUGAAGAACGUAGCGAAAUGCGAUAAGUAGUGUGAAUUGCAGAAUUCAGUGAAUCUUCGAAUCUUUGAACGCACAUUGCGCCCUUUGGUAUUCCUUAGGGCAUGCCUGUUCGAGCGUCAUUUGAAACCUCAAGCUCAGCUUGGUGUUGGGUGUCUGUCCCCGCCUCACCGCGGGGACUCGCCUCAAAAUCAUUGGCGGCCGGUACGUUGGCUUCGAGCGCAGCAGAAACGCGAACUCGAGGCCCGGCGGAUCGGCGACCAGAAGUCACUUCUUCACAGUUUGACCUCGGAUCAGGUAGGGAUACCCGCUGAACUUAAGCAUAUCAAUAAGCGGAGGA
rnacentral:misc_RNA from 1 species